rnacentral:rRNA from 1 species
UGCGCAGGCGGUUAUAUAAGACAGAUGUGAAAUCCCCGGGCUCAACCUGGGACCUGCAUUUGUGACUGUAUAGCUAGAGUACGGUAGAGGGGGAUGGAAUUCCGCGUGUAGCAGUGAAAUGCGUAGAUAUGCGGAGGAACACCGAUGGCGAAGGCAAUCCCCUGGACCUGUACUGACGCUCAUGCACGAAAGCGUGGGGAGCAAACAGGAUUAGAUACCCUGGUAGUCCACGCCCUAAACGAUGUCAACUGGUUGUUGGGUCUUCACUGACUCAGUAACGAAGCUAACGCGUGAAGUUGACCGCCUGGGAGUACGGCCGCAAGGUUGAA